rnacentral:rRNA from 1 species
UACGAAGGGGGCUAGCGUUGUUCGGAAUUACUGGGCGUAAAGCGUGCGCAGGCGGUUGUGCAAGACAGAUGUGAAAUCCCCGGGCUCAACCUGGGAAUUGCAUUUGUGACUGCACGGCUAGAGUGUGUCAGAGGGGGGUAGAAUUCCACGUGUAGCAGUGAAAUGCGUAGAGAUGUGGAGGAAUACCGAUGGCGAAGGCAGCCCCCUGGGAUAACACUGACGCUCAUGCACGAAAGCGUGGGGAGCAAACAGG